CUAGCAUGCAUCCGAGAGAGGGAGAGAGAGAGUCAUGGCGAUGUUGUAGAUCCCCUCGCCGCCGCAUCUGCCUGCUGAUGUCUGCUGCAUCUCCCGCCUUGAGGAAAUCGUCUUGAAUAAUUCCGGGCCUGAACUGAUCUGAAAUGCUUUUGAAGAUGCUAACGGUGCAUUUCCAAUGUGGACGACCAACCAUAACUUAUGCGGUGGCCCAAAAUCUGGACCCCAACAGCGAAGGAAGAGGGGUGCUGCAGUUAAAGACUGGGUUAAUGUCAGUAAUCAGGGAGUAAUGUGUUAGUUCAUGCAAGACCAUGAACCCUGGCUAGUGGGGACUGAGCUUGGGUGAAUAAACUGCACCUGCCUUUGGUAGGUGUAGUAAGUCACUGAAGCUGGCGUCCGGCUAGUUGGCGAUCACGGGACGCAUUGUAGCCUGACUGAGGCAUUUGAUUUCAACCAUGCAUUUGAUUUCCAUCCCGGCCCAUUCCCCAGAGCCGGCUGGAUCACAUGCUGACAUGCACCAGUGGUGCGCUGCUAGCCCUUUCAUCCCUAUUCCCUAGACUUUGCUCAUCCCUUCAAUGAAGAAAAUAUGCCCUAGAGGCAAUAAUAAAGUUAUUAUUUAUUUCCUUGUAUCAUGAUAAAUGUUUAUUAUUAAUGCUAGAAU